AUGAUUCCGAUGAUGAAAGCCCUUCAGCAUCUCCGGCCAAAAAAGCCUGGUGAAGCUCCGCCACCUCCUCCAGAUGAAACGAAAGAUGCUGAGGAGGAGGUUAAAAUCUACGAGUUUAUGGGAUACAAGUUCCCAGUUCCUCAGUUCAAAAUGCCCCAGAUUCCUGCUUGGCUGAAAGUCAUACUGGACUACCGUUUCCCAUCCAGCAUUGAUCCCUACACCGACCACUACAGGCAAACAGAGCGAUUCAAGAUGGAUGUGAUCAGUCUCUUUCCACUGGAUUUGCUGUGUGUCUUCACAGGCAUCAAAUCGCUCAUGAGGUUCCCUCGCCUUCUAAAGGUAAAAAAACACACAGACCCUGUUCUCGUCCCACUUUCACACACACACAUGCUUAAAACUCACACUUAUUCUGUGCCUCUUUUGCAGUACAAUGCAUUCUUUGAGUUGAAUGAGCAAAGCCUACAUUUACAGGUCAGACUAGAUCCCACCACUAGAGGUCAGUAUAACACAAAGCGGAUACCUCUUAAAGGGACAGUUCACCCAAAAAUUCUGGGUGAAUCUCUUUUAUUGUAAAAUAAAUGGCAAGAUCACAUUUUUCAGGAAAUUUUAUUUUGCAUAAAGAAAAUUAAGACUUAUUUAGGAAUACAAAGCAUCAUUAUUUUCAUC
rnacentral:lncRNA from 1 species